AUUAGGUCUUGAAGGAAGACUUUAACUUUGGAUUUUUCAAUGUGUAAUGAUGAAGAAUGGAAAGGCCAUUCUAAACAGAAAGAUAAAGAGAGCAAAGGAAAACAGUUCCUCCUGAGGAUUUCAGAGAAGAGCUGGACUUCCUGGCUGACUCUUACAUUCUCUUCUUCUGAACUGCUUCUUCUGGUAGCUCCCUGUCAUUUUGGACAAGCUCGCACUGCCCUCCUUGGCUCUUCUGGAACUGUGUGAUGGACUUCAUCCUACUAGGACAGAGUCGCUUCUUGAAUUCCCCAGAUAAACACCCACCUGUGUGAAUGACAAGCCUUAAUAAAAAUUAAUUGUCAAAAUUAAUCAACAAGGUCCCAAACAAGAUUGAGAGCCAGGGGACAGAAGUGCUACCGGUAAUGAUAUAGUCACAGGCAGACCUACGAGGAUGUUCAUCUUUCCUCUAAGUCAACUUGAAGUUACAGCGCUUCUUAGAACUUAAAAAGUUUGAUAGCCCCUUACCCAAAGAAAUAGAAGCAUUGGAAAAUAUGUUAAAGAAAUUUCUAUGAAAUUAGAACAAAAUGACUUAUUUUGCAAGAGAAAAAAUAAGUAAGAGCCUAACUCUGGGAAGUCCACAUCCAUCUAAUAGGUGUUCCAGAAUCAGAAAAA
rnacentral:sRNA from 1 species